rnacentral:rRNA from 1 species
GUCGAUGGGAAAAUGGUUAAUAUUCCAUUACUUCUGUGUAAUGCGAUGAGAGGACGGAGAAGGCUAAAUCAGCCUGGCGUUGGUUGUCCAGGUGAAAGGAUGUAGGCAUGUAUCUUAGGCAAAUCCGGGGUACUCUAUGCUGAGAUCUGAUAGCAAGCUGUACUUGUACAGCGAAGUGGUUGAUGCCAUGCUUCCAGGAAAAGUCUCUAAGCUUCAGUUACACAGGAAUCGUACCCGAAACCGACACAGGUGGUCAGGUCGAGUAGACCAAGGCGCUUGAGAGAACUCUGCUGAAGGAACUAGGCAAAAUGGUACCGUAACUUCGGGAGAAGGUACGCUGUUGUUGGUGAUGGAACUCGCUUCCUGAGCUGACGACAGCCGCAGAAACCAGGCCGCUGCAACUGUUUAUUAAAAACAUAGCACUCUGCAAACACGAAAGUGGACGUAUAGGGUGUGAUGCCUGCCCGGUGCUGGAAGGUUAAUUGAUGGGGUUAGCGUAAGCGAAGCUCUUGAUCGAAGCCCCAGUAAACGGCGGCCGUAACUAUAACGGUCCUAAGGUAGCGAAAUUCCUUGUCGGGUAAGUUCCGACCUGCACGAAUGGCAUAAUGAUGGCGGCGCUGUCUCCAGCAGAGGCUCAGUGAAAUCGAAAUCGCUGUGAAGAUGCAGUGUACCCGCGGCUAGACGGAAAGACCCCGUGAACCUUUACUGCAGCUUGACACUGAACUUUGACCUUACUUGUGUAGGAUAGGUGGGAGGCUUUGAAGCUGGAACGCUAGUUCCAGUGGAGCCGUCCUUGAAAUACCACCCUGGUAAUGUUGAGGUUCUAACUCUGUCCCGUGAUCCGGGACGAGGACCGUGUCUGGUGGGUAGUUUGACUGGGGCGGUCUCCUCCUAAAGAGUAACGGAGGAGUACGAAGGUGCGCUCAGCGUGGUCGGAAAUCACGCGUAGAGUAUAAAGGCAAAAGCGCGCUUAACUGCGAGACCCACAAGUCGAGCAGGUACGAAAGUAGGUCUUAGUGAUCCGGUGGUUCUGUAUGGAAGGGCCAUCGCUCAACGGAUAAAAGGUACUCUGGGGAUAACAGGCUGAUACCGCCCAAGAGUUCAUAUCGACGGCGGUGUUUGGCACCUCGAUGUCGGCUCAUCUCAUCCUGGGGCUGAAGCAGGUCCCAAGGGUAUGGCUGUUCGCCAUUUAAAGAGGUACGCGAGCUGGGUUUAGAACGUCGUGAGACAGUUCGGUCCCUAUCUACCGUGGGCGCUGGAAAUUUGAGAGGAUCUGCUCCUAGUACGAGAGGACCAGAGUGGACGAACCUCUGGUGUACCGGUUGUGACGCCAGUCGCAUCGCCGGGUAGCUAUGUUCGGAAGGGAUAACCGCUGAAAGCAUCUAAGCGGGAAGCCUACCUCAAGAUAAGAUUUCCCUAGGACUUUAUGUCCUCUAAAGAGCCGUUCGAGACUAGGACGUUGAUAGGUUGGAUGUGGAAGCAUAGUGAUAUGUGAAGCUGACCAAUACUAAUUGCUCGUGAGGCUUGACUAU